UCUGCCCCUAGAGAUGGCAGGUAUGGCUGCUGGGUCACUUGUGUGUUAGUAAGUGACAGAGAGAAGAAAGGCUAUGUCUGCUCAGUGUUCUGACCUAUGAACAUCUGAACAAUUAGUAGAGUAACAUU